UGAGGAAUAUUGGUCAAUGGGCGCAAGCCUGAACCAGCCAUGCCGCGUGCAGGAAGACGGCCUUAUGGGUUGUAAACUGCUUUUACAUAAGACUAACCGUAUAUUUGCGAAUAUACCUGAAUGUAUUAUGAGAAUAAGGAUCGGCUAACUCCGUGCCAGCAGCCGCGGUAAUACGGAGGAUCCGAGCGUUAUCCGGAUUUAUUGGGUUUAAAGGGUGCGUAGGCUGACUGAUAAGUCAGCGGUGAAAAGCACAGGCUUAACCUGUGUCUUGCCGUUGAUACUGUCAGACUAGAAUAUAAAUGGAGUAGGCGGAAUGAAUCAUGUAGAGGUGACAUUCAUAGAUAUGAUUUAGAACACCGUUCGCGAAGGCGGCUUACUAAGAUAUAAUUGACGCUGAUGCACGAAAGCGUGGGUAUCGAACAGG
rnacentral:rRNA from 1 species